GGUUGAUCCUGCCAGUAGUCAUAUGCUUGUCUCAAAGAUUAAGCCAUGCAUGUCUAAGUAUAAACUGCUUUAUACUGUGAAACUGCGAAUGGCUCAUUAAAUCAGUUAUAGUUUAUUUGAUGGUACCUGCUACAUGGAUAACUGUAGUAAUUCUAGAGCUAAUACAUGCGUAAAUCCCGACUUCUGGAAGGGACGUAUUUGUUAGAUAAAAGGCCGACCGGGCUUGCCCGACUCGCGGUGAAUCAUGAUAACUUCACGAAUCGCAUGGCCUUGUGCCGGCGAUGUUUCAUUCA
rnacentral:rRNA from 1 species